AUUUUUGCCCCCAUUAUCCUCCUUUCUGUGUAAACAUUAAUUCAUUUUCUCCCAUCUUUCCUACCCAGCAGAUCUUAAAGAGAGGAAGAGUUUGUAAUAUUCUUCAGGGGAAGCCUUUUGAGAUUGAAAUAUCAUACUUUGAAUGAUAACUCUAUAUCUAUCUAUAAUAUACUAUGGUUUAAUGUUUGGAAAUCAAACGCAGUAUUUAUUUGUCAUGUGAACUACUAAAAGUAAAUCUGCAUGGACUUCUUGCCUGGUGAGUUACACAGAAAAUGAAAGUGAUUAUCAGUGGCUGUGGCAAGAUGAAAGGAACCAUGCCAGGACUUCUGAGGGAAGGAAGAGUGUUUGGGACUGAAAAAUCCUUGUCUGGAUCUAGUCCUCAGCCACUCAGAAGCUGGCAUGCCAUGACUCAAAGAGCCGCCCGUCUGGAAUGAAGACAGUGACCCGUAACUCCCACCUGAAGAGCAGGUGCUUGGAAAAUGCUGCCAGUCCGCAGGAAAAAGUUGUUACUGCUGCUGUCUGUGACCAAGAGGACACUUUAUUUCUUGAAACAACUGGGGGCAAACUGGCUCCCAGAUAAGGCUUCAGUCCCUACUCAUGUGAGGAAACCAGCCCUGGUAGGUUCCAUGCACAAGAAUACAGGACAAGGAGCAGCUUUUUUCACCUCAUGCAACCUCCAGGGAUUUCAGCUUCCUUUUCUUGGAGCAAGAAAGUGAAGUGACGUGGGGGCACCUGAGAGUUUAUUCAGUGACGAUAAUACUCACAAGACCCUUUUUGGAUUUGUGGCCCAACCCACAAGUUAUAGUUCCUUCUCUGAAUAUUUCAUCCAGAUUGUGAAGAGCAGCUUCUGGCAGCCACAGUUGUACUAUGUGACCCCUACUUCCCAUGCCCAGGACUGAUUCGACCCCGUAGUAGACACCUAAAGCAAUCCUGAUCAGUCAGAGUCUUUGUUCCUGACAUUUGGGAUUAGAGCAUGGCUGAAGGUUUAAGACACAAACUUGGAAGCUGUGGGGCAGCAAUACACCUCCAUGAGGACAGAGAAGCAGGGGAAAUAAGAAUAAACCAGAAGCUCACAGAAACGCAGGAAAUACUUCUAGAGUUCUAACACUUUUCGGGUUUCUUGUUCUAGUCCAUUCUUGACACACUUGUGCCUCACAGAAGCCAAUGGCAAGAAUGCAGUCAGAUCCUUCCAAUAAAUUCCUUUUAUUCUGUUUGGUCCACUGCACCUGUCACACCACAAACAAUGAUAAA
rnacentral:lncRNA from 1 species